rnacentral:rRNA from 1 species
AGAGUUUGAUCAUGGCUCAGGAUCAACGCUGGCGGCGUGCCUAAUGCAUGCAAGUCGAACGGCUAUCUUUCGAGGUAGCAGUGGCGAACGGCUGAGUAGCACGUACGAACCUGCCCUCCAGUGGGGAAUAACCCAGCGAAAGUUGGGCUAAUACCGCGUACGCGCGCAAGCGGAAAGCCGCAAGGCGCUGGAGGAGGGGCGUGCGGCCCAUCAGGUUGUUGGCGGGGUAAUGGCCCACCAAGCCGGUGACGGGUCGCUGGUCUGUGAGGACGAUCAGCCAGACUGGGACUGCGACACGGCCCAGACACCUACGGGUGGCAGCAGCAAGGAAUCUUCCCCAAUGCGCGCAAGCGUGAGGGAGCAACGCCGCGUGCAGGAUGACGGCCUUCGGGUUGUAAACUGCUUUGAGGGGGGAUGAAACGGACAGUACCCCCAAAACAAGCCCCGGCUAACUCUGUGCCAGCAGCCGCGGUAAGACAGAGGGGGCCAGCGUUGUCCGGAUUGACUGGGCGUACAGCGCGCGCAGGCGGCGGGAGACGUGCCGUGUGACAGCGCGGAGCUUAACUCCGCGUGGUCAGGGUAGACGCUCCGGCUAGAGGGGUUGAGAGGGAUGUGGAAUACCCGGUGGAGCGGUGAAAUGCGUAGAGAUCGGGUGGAACACCAGAGGCGCAAGCGGCAUCCUGGCAACAUCCUGACGCUGAGGCGCGAAAGCGUGGGGAGCAAACGGGAUUAGAUACCCCCGUAGUCC